rnacentral:lncRNA from 1 species
CUAAUUAUAGGUUGGACCAACAUGUAUCAUUUGCCUAGUUUCCAUUGAGCUUUGAAGCCUUUCUUUGGCAUGCUUUAAUGCCUCUAGUUCUUCAAGGAUACUUUGAUUUACUGGUUUGGGUCUAUUAUUUGUGGCUUGUGAUGUUGCUAUCACAUUUACUGGAACUAAUGCCAUUGAAUUAUGAAUGAAAUAUCCCUUUUCAUCAUCUUCUUUCUCUGUCACGGAUGAUUUUGAGCUAAU